CCCAGUGAACGGCGGCCGUAACUAUAACGGUCCUAAGGUAGCGAAAUUCCUUGUCAGGUAAGUUCUGACCCGCACGAAUGGCGUAACGACUUGAGAGCUGUCUCAACAACAUACCCGGCGAAAUUGAAGUACUGGUAAAGAUGCCAGUUACCCGUGAUAAGACGGAAAGACCCCAUGGAGCUUUACUGUAACUUGAUAUUGAAUUUUUGUAUUACAUGUACAGGAUAGGUGGGAGACAGAGAACUAAUGCCGCCAGGUGUUAGGGAGUCGAUGUUGGGAUACCACUCUUGUAAUAUGAAGGUUCUAACCUGCACCCGUGAAUCCGGGUGGGGGACACUGUCAGGUGGACAGUUUGACUGGGGCGGUCGCCUCCUAAAAGGUAACGGAGGCGUUCAAAGGUUGGUUCAGCACGGACGGAAAUCGUGCAACGAGUGCAAACGCAUAAACCAGCCUAACUGCGAGACCGACAAGUCGAGCAGUAACGAAAGUUGGAGUUAGUGAUCCGGCGGUAUGAGAGUGGAAUUGCCGUCGCUCAACGGAUAAAAGCUACCCUGGGGAUAACAGGCUGAUCUCCCCCAAGAGUCCACAUCGACGGGGAGGUUUGGCACCUCGAUGUCGGCUCAUCGCAUCCUGGAGCUGUAGUCGGUUCCAAGGGUUGGGCUGUUCGCCCAUUAAAGCGGUACGCGAGCUGGGUUCAGAACGUCGCGAGACAGUUCGGUCCCUAUCUAUCACGGGCGUAGGAAAUUUGAGGAGAGCUGACCUUAGUACGAGAGGACCGGGUUGGACGUACCGCUGGUGCACCUGUUGUUCUGCCAAGGGCAUAGCAGGGUAGCUAAGUACGGACGGGAUAAACGCUGAAGGCAUCUAAGCGUGAAGCCCCCUUCGAGAUAAGAUUUCCCAUAGCGUAGGCUAGUAAGGACCCAUGAAGACUACAUGGUUGAUAGGCCGGAGGUGGAAGUGCAGUAAUGUAUGUAGCUGACCGGUACUAAUAGUCCGAGGGCUUGACCAA
rnacentral:rRNA from 1 species